rnacentral:rRNA from 1 species
AUUGAACGCUGGCGGCAUGCUUUACACAUGCAAGUCGAACGGUAACAGGCCGCAAGGUGCUGACGAGUGGCGAACGGGUGAGUAAUGCAUCGGAACGUGCCCAGUCGUGGGGGAUAACGCAGCGAAAGCUGUGCUAAUACCGCAUACGAUCUAUGGAUGAAAGCGGGGGACCGUAAGGCCUCGCGCGAUUGGAGCGGCCGAUGUCAGAUUAGGUAGUUGGUGGGGUAAAGGCCUACCAAGCCGACGAUCUGUAGCUGGUCUGAGAGGACGACCGGCAACACUGGGACUGAGGCACGGCCCAGACUCCUACGGGAGGCAGCAGUGGGGAAUUUUGGACAAUGGGCGCAAGCCUGAUCCAGCAAUGCCGCGUGCAGGAAGAAGGCCUUCGGGUUGUAAACUGCUUUUGUACGGAACGAAACGGUCUGGGUUAAUACCCUGGGCUAAUGACGGUACCGUAAGAAUAAGCACCGGCUAACUACGUGCCAGCAGCCGCAGUAAAAC